rnacentral:lncRNA from 1 species
CCCUUGUGGAAAAGCCUACAUUUUCACUAUUUUUCGUUCUGGGGAGGAUCCAAAAAUCCACCCAAUAAACCAAAUUAGCAGUAAAAAAAUGUACACAACUAUCUAUUUCAUACAAAUUAAAGUUAUGAAAAAGAAAUGGAUGUGCGUUGUUCUAUCUCGGGUAGGGGUAUCUAAUCCAAUGAGAAAAAAACACCGUCAACUGAACUCAGAUAUUAAAUGUUGCAUCCCUGUCGCAAAGGGGUUUUCUGUUGUUAUUGCAAUGCAUUGACAAUGUUAUACUUACGUGUAUGUACUAUUGUAUGUGUGGGAGCACAAUGGUUUAACAAACUAAACAUUCCUGCACUAAUGCUGUAAUAAAGCUAUUCUCUUGCCUGUCAUCACUAAACACACUGCUUUAGCAAGGCACAGCUAAAGAGAUUAAAGUCACAUGCACACACACACACACACACACACACACACACACACACACACACACACACACACACACACACACCCUGAAACCGGUGUUGUCUGGACUGCACACUGGCACAUAAUUAUUUAUUCUAUAUAUCCAGUCACUCUUUAAAGUACUAAUAACUUAAUCACAGGGUGUAGACAAAAUAAUGGGAACACCUGACCGUGUAACACAAUCCUUAUGGAGGAAGAUAUUGAGGGUGUGUAUUUAUAUUAUCCAUUAGUACUUCUAGCUAUGUAUUAUGUUCUACUAUAUAGUAUUUCAUUCUUUACUACACAUUCUCUACUAGAAAAUGAAGAAAAUAAUUUUACUUUGUACCAUGGUUACCAUGGUGAAGAGAUUUUAGUGGCCAUGUGUCAAUUUAUUGGAUGCACUUACAAAUAACAUUUUCUCACAAAACAGCAAUUUUGAACCAUACACACAAACCUAGAGGAUGACAUACUGCACUAUACCUUGCUUUGGCAAACCAGUGACACAAUCAUUGCUACCCAUCCCUUAUAAUUGGUAUGUUAUGCAUUCGUAUUUAUUUAUUUAUGUAAAAUUGGGUACAAUUCAAUACUGUGACAGACGUAUACAGUGAUAUGUAACUGUACAGAUAACUGCCGUCAUUUGGCAACAUAAAGAUGCGUCCCAAGUUUGACCUAUUCCUCUGAAUGGAAAAAUCUAAAUAAAAUGUAUUUUAAAAGUUCUUGAGAUGAGUCCUGCUACUAGAGAAGAUGAAGAUGGGGAGGCAACAACUUCACGGCUGUGAGUCAGACAAUGAGAGCGCACUGUGGCAUGUGACAUGACCUGCUCAGCCACCCGUGUGUGUCAGAACACUGAUUUAGAUGAGACGGAAGUUUUGAAGUCUGUUGUCAAUCAUAACAUAAGAAAAAAAACCAGCAUCGCCUAAAGAAACUCAAACGUGGUGUUCAUCGCUGUGGCGUUUUUGCACUGCACACGGCAUUGUGUUGUCUUCUUUGCAAGAUUUUCUGAAGUUUAUGUAGGUGACACUCUUGUAUGUCAAUGAUGAUAAGCUAAUAGUAAAUGAUUUCUCCUGCUGUGCAGAACAAAUCAUUUUGUGUGCGCUGGAUCCCACCUGACGCAGAGAGACUAGCUGUGGUAGUUUUUAGUACAAGCGCAGUAGUUUAUGCAAUCAGAAUAUUCAGAUGUUGACUUUUAAAUGCAUGAAUACAACACAGACAAAAAUAUUGUUGGAGUAUAGGUAAUAACUAGGCAACAACCGGCUGCAGGAAAUGCUCAA